ACGCUGGCGGCAGGCUUAACACAUGCAAGUCGAGCGGUAGCAGGGAGAAAGCUUGCUUUCUCCGCUGACGAGCGGCGGACGGGUGAGUAAUGUCUGGGGAUCUGCCUGAUGGAGGGGGAUAACUACUGGAAACGGUAGCUAAUACCGCAUAACGUCGCAAGACCAAAGUGGGGGACCUUCGGGCCUCAUGCCAUCAGAUGAACCCAGAUGGGAUUAGCUAGUAGGUGAGGUAAUGGCUCACCUAGGCGACGAUCCCUAGCUGGUCUGAGAGGAUGACCAGCCACACUGGAACUGAGACACGGUCCAGACUCCUACGGGAGGCAGCAGUGGGGAAUAUUGCACAAUGGGCGCAAGCCUGAUGCAGCCAUGCCGCGUGUAUGAAGAAGGCCUUCGGGUUGUAAAGUACUUUCAGUAGGGAGGAAGGUGUACGUGUUAAUAGCACGUGCAAUUGACGUUACCUACAGAAGAAGCACCGGCUAACUCCGU
rnacentral:rRNA from 1 species